UUGGGGGGAAAUAGUGGUCCGUUAAGUUGGGGAAAAAGACAUAAUCCCUUGGAAAAAAUUAGGUUUGUUUCCUUUUACUCCUAAAAUCUUGAAUCAAUAUGGGGGUAUAAAAGGAACCAAAUUUAAAUUUAACUCAAGGGGUCUUGAUGUCGUUUUCCCCAACAUGACAUAUCACUAUUUUCCCCAAG
rnacentral:pre_miRNA from 1 species